UAGAAGGAAAAGAUAAGAGCCAUAGCUGGCUUACCAAAUGUGCCAAACACAAUGACAGCCAUCAGGAGGAGUGCUGGUUCUGGAGCUUGGAAGUCCAAAAUCAAGGUUUGACAGGUUGUUUCUUUCUGAGGACUAUGAGAGAAGAAGUUGUUCCAGGUCUGGAAGCUGGAAUUUCAAAAUCAAGGUUUGACAGUUGUUUCUUUCUUAGGACUGUGAGAGAAGGAGUUGAUCCAGGCAUCUCUACUUGCUUAGUAGGUGGUCAUCUUUAUGUUUACAUAAUGUUCUUCUUGUAUGCGUGUCUGUCUCCAAAUUUCCUCUUUUAAUAGGAGCACCCAUCAUAUUGAAUUAGCAGUUUACCCUAAUAACCUCAAUUUAACUGGAUUCCCUCUUUAAGGACCUCCUUCCAUAUAAGGUCACAUUCUGAUGUACUGGGGGUUAGGAUCUCAGCGUAUAAAUUUGAGUGGGACAUAAUUCAGCCCAUAACAGCAUUUAACUGAAGAAUUGGUGAUAACUAGAGGGUUGAUACAGUCUAAAGGUAAAACUAGCCUAAAUGGUAACUUUUUUUUUUUUUUGGCUAAUUCUCAUUGUGCAUUUAUUUCUUGCCAGAGCUUUUGCUUGAUGCUAGGUAUUUGAAGAUAAAAAAAAGUUGAAUUUCUGCUGUUGACUGUAUUGAGAGACCGACAGGUCAACAGAUUAAUCUAGAGGUAAUCUGUAUUAUAAUAGGUGUAUAUCUGAGACACUGUGGAGGGAAGGAGGAGGAAGAACUUCCCCAGGGGAGUCAGGGAAGACUUUACUGGAGAGGUAACACUGAACUUGUGAAAAGACAACAAGAAACUCAUUAUUAUUUUUAUUAAAAAGGUUGAUAUGAAUUUGAGAUAAAGAAAUGCACAAAGUGGCACAAAGAAGAUCCAGACAUGUUAAGAAGGGAAAACAAUCUAUUUCAGUCUGAAAAGGAGAUGUUGUAAUAACCUGACAACAUUCAAUUGACUGAUCAGAUCUUGGCCUUUGUACAAAUCGAGAAGUAGAAAAUAAGCUAGAAAUAUUACUCAGAGACAGCCCUGAUUCCAUUGAAUCUCAUUUUCCUUCUGUACAAAGUAAAGGUAAUAGAAUUUUGUGCUAACACUGUGUACAUGUACUACCAUGAUAAUAAAAAGUAAAUAAAGAUGUUUUAUUCUUUAAAAUAUUUAUCUAUACUGAGACCCAAUCAUAAUAACAAUUUUUUUAUUGUACUUUCCUUUGUGCUAACAUUGCUCUAUGACUUUUUGUAAGUUAUCUGGAAAUUUUGCAAGGGGUGUUUCUAACUUACAAACAAGACAAUAAAAUAUGAGAAAGAUGAAAGAUUAAAAAUAGCUAUGCAUUCUUAGCAGCUCCUCACUUUAAGAGGGAGAAUCUAUUUUCCAACCCCCUUGAUUCUGUGCUGACUUUAUGACUUGCUUUGGCACUAGGAUACUUUAAAAGUGAUGUUGUAGAUGUUCCAGGUGAACAAGGCAAGAAGCCUAGGAGCUUCUCUCCUACCCUGUUAGAAUGCUGCUGCCAAGCUGAUCCGCUAGAGACACUAGGACCAGGAAAUGGGUAAUACCAACAACCAGACAUGUGAGUGAGGCAGCUCCAAGCAAGUCACCAAGAAACUGACUACAGCCCCAUGAGUGACCCCAGGAGACACCAUCAGAAGAACCACUCAGGUGAUCCCAAGGUUGUUUCGUCACCUAGCCCAAACUGAUGACCUUCAGAGUCAUGAGUCAGAAUAAAAUGGUGGUUGUUUUAACAGACUGCAUUUUGGAGAGACAAUAGAUAACUAAUAAAGUAGCAAGUCAAAUAAAGUGGUGUAUUAGUCUGUUCUCACACUGCUGUAAAGAACUACCUGAGACUAGAUAAUUUAUGAAGAAAAGAGGUUUAAUUGACUCACAGUUCCACAGGCUGUACAGGAGGCAUGGUGGGGGAGGCCUCAGGAAAGCUACAAUCAUGGCAAAAGGCAAAGGGGAA
rnacentral:lncRNA from 10 species